rnacentral:rRNA from 1 species
GACGAACGCUGGCGGCGUGCUUAACACAUGCAAGUCGAACGGAAAGGCCCUGCUUUUGUGGGGUGCUCGAGUGGCGAACGGGUGAGUAACACGUGAGUAACCUGCCCUUGACUUUGGGAUAACUUCAGGAAACUGGGGCUAAUACCGGAUAGGAGCUCCUGCUGCAUGGUGGGGGUUGGAAAGUUUCGGCGGUUGGGGAUGGACUCGCGGCUUAUCAGCUUGUUGGUGGGGUAGUGGCUUACCAAGGCUUUGACGGGUAGCCGGCCUGAGAGGGUGACCGGCCACAUUGGGACUGAGAUACGGCCCAGACUCCUACGGGAGGCAGCAGUGGGGAAUAUUGCACAAUGGGCGGAAGCCUGAUGCAGCAACGCCGCGUGCGGGAUGACGGCCUUCGGGUUGUAAACCGCUUUCGCCUGUGACGAAGCGUGAGUGACGGUAAUGGGUAAAGAAGCACCGGCUAACUACGUGCCAGCAGCCGCGGUGAUACGUAGGGUGCGAGCGUUGUCCGGAUUUAUUGGGCGUAAAGGGCUCGUAGGUGGUUGAUCGCGUCGGAAGUGUAAUCUUGGGGCUUAACCCUGAGCGUGCUUUCGAUACGGGUUGACUUGAGGAAGGUAGGGGAGAAUGGAAUUCCUGGUGGAGCGGUGGAAUGCGCAGAUAUCAGGAGGAACACCAGUGGCGAAGGCGGUUCUCUGGGCCUUUCCUGACGCUGAGGAGCGAAAGCGUGGGGAGCGAACAGGCUUAGAUACCCUGGUAGUCCACGCUGUAAACGGUGGGUACUAGGUGUGGGGUCCAUUCCACGGGUUCCGUGCCGUAGCUAACGCUUUAAGUACCCCGCCUGGGGAGUACGGCCGCAAGGCUAAAACUCAAAGGAAUUGACGGGGCCCCGCACAAGCGGCGGAGCAUGCGGAUUAAUUCGAUGCAACGCGUAGAACCUUACCUGGGUUUGACAUGGAUCGGGAGUGCUCAGAGAUGGGUGUGCCUCUUUUGGGGUCGGUUCACAGGUGGUGCAUGGCUGUCGUCAGCUCGUGUCGUGAGAUGUUGGGUUAAGUCCCGCAACGAGCGCAACCCUUGUUCACUGUUGCCAGCACGUUAUGGUGGGGACUCAGUGGAGACCGCCGGGGUCAACUCGGAGGAAGGUGGGGAUGACGUCAAGUCAUCAUGCCCCUUAUGUCCAGGGCUUCACGCAUGCUACAAUGGCUGGUACAGAGAGUGGCGAGCCUGUGAGGGUGAGCGAAUCUCGGAAAGCCGGUCUCAGUUCGGAUUGGGGUCUGCAACUCGACCUCAUGAAGUCGGAGUCGCUAGUAAUCGCAGAUCAGCAACGCUGCGGUGAAUACGUUCCCGGGGCCUGUACACACCGCCCGUCAAGUCAUGAAAGUUGGUAACACCCGAAGCCGGUGGCCUAACCGUUGUGGGGGAGCCGUCGAAGGUGGGACUGGUGAUUAGGACUAAGUCGUAACAAGGUAGCCGUACCGGAAGG